AUUGAACGCUGGCGGCAGGCCUAACACAUGCAAGUCGAACGAGUGGCGGACGGGUGAGUAAUGUCUGGGAAACUGCCUGAUGGAGGGGGAUAACUACUGGAAACGGUAGCUAAUACCGCAUACCAUCGGAUGUGCCCAGAUGGGAUGAGCGAGUAGGUGGGGUAAAGGCUCACCUAGGCGACGAUCCCUAGCUGGUCUGAGAGGAUGACCAGCCACACUGGAACUGAGACACGGUCCAGACUCCUCAGGGAGGCAGCAGGGGGGAAUAUUGCACAAUGGGCGCAAGCCUGAUCCAGCCAUGCCGCGUGUAUGAAGAAGGCCUUCGGGUUGUAAAGUACUUUCGGCGGGGAGGCGUUACCCGCAGAAGAAGCACCGGCUAACUCCGUGCCAGCAGCCGCGGUAAUUC
rnacentral:rRNA from 1 species